rnacentral:misc_RNA from 1 species
GAUGAAGAACGCAGCGAAAUGCGAUAAGUAAUGUGAAUUGCAGAAUUCAGUGAAUCAUCGAAUCUUUGAACGCACCUUGCGCCCUUUGGCUAUUCCGAAGGGCAUGCCUGUUUGAGUAUCAUGAACACCUCAACCCUCAUGGUUUGCCAUGAUGGGCUUGGACUUUGGGGGUCUUGCUGGAUUGUAGUCAGCUCCCCCUAAAUGAAUCAGCUUGCCAGUGUUUGGUGGCAUCACAGGUGUGAUAAAUAUCUACGCUUGUGGUUUUACAUCAGAUAACCUUCAGUGAUGGAGGUUCACUGGAGCUCAUAAAGGUGUCUCUCCUCUGUGAGGACAGCUCUUUGAAUGUUUGAUCUCAAAUCAGGCAGGACUACCCGCUGAACUUAAGCAUAUCAAUAAGCGGAGGA